GUUAGAACACACCACAGCCUUCAGCACCGGGACGCAAGGACCAGACUAAGCCCGAGGAAGCCGGCAGCCCAGCGGGGGCAGUUUCAAUCUCCAUCCCAGAUGCAGGGCUGUAGCAGCGGCCAGGAAGAAAACCGCCCCCUCUGAAAGUUGUUUUGGUGACUGUUCUUCAGAGCAUUGUUCUAAAAAUGGGAAAUUACAUAUUGCUGUGCCAAAGGAAACAAACACCUGCAGUUAAAGGAAUACCUUCCACGAGGUGGCUUUCAGAGCCCUAGCCAGUUCUGGAAGCAGGGGUGCUACAGAAGUCUCACUUGGUGCUUUUUUUCACCUUUAAGGGGAUCGGGUGCUUACACCUUUGUAACCAGGGUGGGCUUUGGUGACGACAGGUCUCUGGUGAUUGUCUUUUACUCAUUCACUCAAUAAACAUCUGUCGAGCAUC